rnacentral:rRNA from 1 species
CCUACGGGUGGCAGCAGUGAGGAAUAUUGGUCAAUGGGCGAGAGCCUGAACCAGCCACGUCGCGUGAGGGAGUACUGCCCUAUGGGUUGUAAACCUCUUUUGUCUGGGAGCAAAAGCCGGACGUGUCCGGCUGUGAGAGUACCCGGAGAAAAGCAUCGGCUAACUCCGUGCCAGCAGCCGCGGUAAUACGGAGGAUGAGAGCGUUAUCCGGAUUUAUGGGGUUUAAAGGGUGCGCAGGCGGAUUGUUAAGUCAGCGGUCAAAUCGGGGGGCUAAACCCCAUCCAGCCGUUGACACUGGGGAUCUAGAGUGUGCGAGAGGUAUGCGGAAUGCGUGGUGUAGCAGUGAAAUGCAUAGAUAUCACGCAGAACCCUGAUUGCGAAGGCAGCAUACCGGUGAACAACUGACGCUCAGGCACGAAAGCGAGGGUAUCGAACAGGAUUAGAUACCCCAGUAGUC